rnacentral:rRNA from 1 species
GAUGAACGCUGGCGGCGUGCUUAACACAUGCAAGUCGGACGGAAAGGCCCCAGCUUGCUGGGGUACUCGAGUGGCGAACGGGUGAGUAACACGUGGGUGAUCUGCCCUGCACUUUGGGAUAAGCUUGGGAAACUGGGUCUAAUACCGAAUAUGACCACUUCUUGGAAGUUGUGGUGGAAAGCGUUUGCGGUGUGGGAUGAGCCUGCGGCCUAUCAGCUUGUUGGUGGGGUAAUGGCCUACCAAGGCGGCGACGGGUAUCCGGCAUGAGAGGGUGUACGGACACAUUGGGACUGAGAUACGGCCCAGACUCCUACGGGAGGCAGCAGUGGGGAAUAUUGCACAAUGGGCGCAAGCCUGAUGCAGCGACGCCGCGUGGGGGAUGAAGGCCUUCGGGUUGUAAACUCCUUUCGCUAUCGACGAAGCCACUUGUGGUGACGGUAGGUAGAUAAGAAGCACCGGCUAACUACGUGCCAGCAGCCGCCGUAA